GAUGAACGCUGGCGGCGUGCCUAAUACAUGCAAGUCGAGCGAACGGACGAGAGGCUUGCUUCUCUGAUGUUAGCGGCGGACGGGUGAGUAACACGUGGCUAACCUACAUAUAAGACUGGGAUAACUUCGGGAAACCGGAGCUAAUACCGGAUAAUAUUUUGAACCGCAUGGUUCAAAAGUGAAAGACGGUCUUGCUGUCACUUAUAGAUGGAUCCGCGCUGCAUUAGCUAGUUGGUAAGGUAACGGCUUACCAAGGCAACGAUGCAUAGCCGACCUGAGAGGGGGAUCGGCCACACUGGAACUUAGACACGGACCCGACUCCUACGGGAGGCAGCAGUAGGGAAUCUUCCGCAAUGGGCGAAAGCCUGACGGAGCAACGCCGCGUGAGUGAUGAAGGUCUUCGGAUCGUAAAACUCUGUUUUUAGGGAAGAACAUAUGUGUAAGUAACUGUGCACAUCUUGACGGUACCUAAUCAGAAAGCCACGGCUAACUACGUG
rnacentral:rRNA from 1 species